UGAAAGCCACCAGUGCCUGAUUUCUGCCUGUGCUAAGUCUCAGCAAGCAGAAGCAAUGGCAGGAGUGCAGCAACCCUAAGUGUGGAGAGUUUGUACAUUGCAGCUGUGGAAUCCUCGGUUCUCCUUUUAUUUAUUUAUUUUAGAAGUACAAGCAUCUGACAGGAUGAAAAGCACUAGCAGCUUCGGACUGAAGAGAGCUUGGGGUUUGCAUUAGGAUCAAGUAGUUGUUCAGAAUCCUGGCUUCUCUCUGUUGUAUAUGUUUCAGUUUGAAGGAAAUUGAUGAAAUUCAAGAACUCAUCACUUUUUCUGUUGGUGUUGGAAGUUUUCUGCUGUACAGUCUCAUUUUGGGCUGCUAGAGAUCUGUACUGGAUAACCGAAGGGCAGCAACACUUUCUUUUGUAGUGUGUGUUAGAGAUAUUUUCAGAUAAGUUUACUUUCUAGCACAAUACUUCAUGGAUUUCUUUCUCCAGUACUCCAAAUAAACAACUUUUCCCUUUCAAAUGGGCAAGGGUCACUCUCUUCAGCACCAUGGAGAGCUCAGGACAGCAGCAAAUCCUAUGGGAGUCUGGCCAGGACAAAAAAUCUGACAAUGUGAAGAAACUUAAGAUGAUAAAGGUGACUUGCCCGCAGUUACCCAUCUUGUAAAUGUCUAAGAAAGGAAUUGAAUCAUGUCUUUCUGACUCCCAAAUAAAGCAGCCUGUCUUGUUCUGGUCUUGCCAUUUCUGAAAAUAAGGAGAAUUUCCACAAAUAAAACUGUUUGAUGGGAAGAAAUAGGUAA